rnacentral:rRNA from 1 species
GUAAUGCCUAGGUAUCUGCCCAGUCGAGGGGGAUAACAGUUGGAAACGACUGCUAAUACCGCAUACGCCCUACGGGGGAAAGGAGGGGACCUUCGGGCCUUUCGCGAUUGGAUGAACCUAGGUGGGAUUAGCUAGUAGGUGGGGUAAUGGCUCACCUAGGCAACGAUCCCUAGCUGGUCUGAGAGGAUGAUCAGCCACACUGGAACUGAGACACGGUCCAGACUCCUACGGGAGGCAGCAGUGGGGAAUAUUGCACAAUGGGCGAAAGCCUGAUGCAGCCAUGCCGCGUGUAUGAAGAAGGCCUUCGGGUUGUAAAGUACUUUCAGCGAGGAGGAAAGGUAGGUAGUUAAUAACUGCUUACUGUGACGUUACUCGCAGAAGAAGCACCGGCUAACUUCGUGCCAGCAGCCGCGGUAAUACGAGGGGUGCAAGCGUUAAUCGGAAUUACUGGGCGUAAAGCGUACGCAGGCGGUUUGUUAAGCAAGAUGUGAAAGCCCCGGGCUCAACCUGGGAACUGCAUUUUGAACUGGCAAACUAGAGUCUUGUAGAGGGGGGUAGAAUUUCAGGUGUAGCGGUGAAAUGCGUAGAGAUCUGAAGGAAUACCGGUGGCGAA